GGUAGUGAGAACUCCUGGAAUGGAUUCUCGCUCAAAGGAUGUCUAGACCAUGCUUCUAGGCGUCGCCCAAGGAGGGGGCCGCGACCGAUCAGGUUGUUGGUGAGGUAACGGCUCACCAAGCCUUUAACCGGUACGGGCCGUGAGAGCGGAAGCCCGGAGAUGGGCACUGAGACAAGGGCCCAGGCCCUACGGGGCGCAGCAGUCGCGAAAACUCCGCAAUACACGAAAGUGUGACGGGGCCAUCCCGAGUGCCAUCCGCUGAGGAUGGCUUUUCCCCAGUGUAUAAAGCUGGGGGAAUAAGGAGAGGGCAAGCCUGGUGUCAGCCGCCGCGGUAAUACCAGCUCUCCGAGUGGUGGGGAUGUUUAUUGGGCCUAAAGCAUUCGUAGCCUGCUUGGCAAGUCCUCCGUUAAAUCCAACGAUUCAAUCGUUGGGCUGCGGGGGAUACUGUCCGGCUAGGGGGCGGGAGAGGCCGACGGUAUCCCCGGGGUAGGGGUGAAAUCCUAUAAUCCCGGGAGGACCACCAGUGGCGAAGGCUGUCGGCUAGAACGCGCUCGACGGUGAGGGAUGAAAGCUGGGGGAGCGAACCGGAUUAGAUACCCGGGUAGUCCCAGCUGUAAACGAUGCAGGCUAGGUGUUGGCGCGGCUACGUGCCGCUCCAGUGCCGCAGGGAAGCCGUUAAGCCUGCCGCCUGGGAAGUACGGCCGCAAGGCUGAAACUUAAAGGAAUUGGCGGGGGAGCACACAGGUGUGA
rnacentral:rRNA from 1 species